rnacentral:rRNA from 1 species
GACGAACGCUGGCGGCGUGCUUAACACAUGCAAGUCGAACGGUGACGAGGAGCUUGCUCCUCUGAUCAGUGGCGAACGGGUGAGUAACACGUGAGCAACCUGCCCCAGACUCUGGGAUAACAGUUGGAAACAGCUGCUAAUACCGGAUACGAGACGGAGAGGCAUCUCUACCGUCUGGAAAGUUUUUCGGUCUGGGAUGGACUCGCGGCCUAUCAGCUAGUUGGUGAGGUAAUGGCUCACCAAGGCGACGACGGGUAGCCGGCCUGAGAGGGCGACCGGCCACACUGGGACUGAGACACGGCCCAGACUCCUACGGGAGGCAGCAGUGGGGAAUAUUGCACAAUGGGCGAAAGCCUGAUGCAGCGACGCCGCGUGAGGGAUGACGGCCUCGGUGUAACGUACUUCAGCAGGAGAAGACGAAGUAGACGGUACCUGCAGAAGAAGACACCGGCUAACUACGUGCCGACGCAGCCGCGGUAACGU